CUUGCGGACGCCAUCUUGUAGGUGGGCAGAUCCUUAGUAAGGCGAGGCGUUCUUGAGCGGGAGAAUUUGAGAUGGACAGAGCGCAGCCAUAUCUGUGGAUGUCUGGAGCACACUGAGGAUUGCCCUGUCAGGAGGACAGCAAUGAAUGUACAGCUGUAGCACUUUAAUAUCAGUUAUGCUUCAGAUGGGGCCAGCAGGUACGCUCACAAUGGAGAGAUGCGCUGCGGAAUUCCACCAACUGUUUCAGGAAUGCACGUGCUACUCUGUUACGCAAAGAAACCCA